GAGGUAGAGCACUGGAUGGUCUAGGGGGCUUAUCGGCUUACCGAAAUCAGCCAAACUCCGAAUGCCGGUAAGUGAGAGCGCGGCAGUGAGACUGCGGGGGAUAAGCUCCGUAGUCGAGAGGGAAACAGCCCAGAUCAUCAGCUAAGGCCCCUAAGUGGUGACUCAGUGGGAAAGGAUGUGGAGUUGCGUAGACAACCAGGAGGUUGGCUUGGAAGCAGCCAUCCUUGAAAGAGUGCGUAAUAGCUCACUGGUCAAGUGAUUCCGCGCCGACAAUGUAGCGGGGCUCAAGUUAUCCGCCGAAGCUGUGGCAACCUGUGUGGUUGGGUAGGGGAGCGUCGUGUCAGUGGUGAAGCUGCCGGGUGACUGUGUGGUGGAGUUGAUGCGAGUGAGAAUGCAGGCAUGAGUAGCGUGUGACGGGUGGGAAUCCCGUCCGCCGAUUAUCCAAGGGUUCCAGGGUCAAGUUUGUCUGCCCUGGGUGAGUCGGGUCCUAAGGCGAGGCCGACAGGCGUAGUCGAUGGGUAACCAGUUGAUAUUCUGGUACCGGCUUGUCACCGUCCGUGUCGAGGUGUGUGAUGCUAAGCAUGUGAGCUUGUCUUGGGAGUGUUUUUGAUGCUUCUGGGGUGGGUGAGUGUGUGAACCGAUCAUGUAGUAGGCAAGCUGCGGAGGGACGCAGUGAGGUAGCUCAUCCCCGGUGAUGGUUGUCCGGGGCUAAGUGUGUGGACUGUCUGGUAGGUAAAUCCGCUGGGCGUGAAGGUUGAGGCAUGAUGGGGAGCCCACGGUUGUGGGUGAGUGAGUGAUCCUGUACUGUCGAGAAAAGCUUCGUGAGCGAGGUGGCGGGUCCGCCCGUACCCUAAACCGACACUGGUGGAUAGGUAGAGUAUACCGAGGCGAUCGAGAGAAUCAUGGUGAAGGAACUCGGCAAAAUGCCCCCGUAACUUUGGAAGAAGGGGGACCUGAGCUGUUGCCGCCACGUGCUGGUGGUUGCGGUGAGGGGCGCAGAGAAUUGGGGGAAGCGACUGUUUACCAAAAACACAGGUCCGUGCGAAGUCGUAAGACGAUGUAUACGGACUGACUCCUGCCCGGUGCUGGAAGGUUAAGGGGAACUGUGAGUGUAUGCGUAGCGGUGAACUUAAGCCCCAGUAAACGGCGGUGGCAACUAUAACCAUCCUAAGGUAGCGAAAUUCCUUGUCGGGUAAGUUCC
rnacentral:rRNA from 13 species